rnacentral:rRNA from 1 species
CCUACGGGAGGCAGCAGUGAGGAAUAUUGGUCAAUGGGCGUAAGCCUGAACCAGCCAAGUCGCGUGAGGGAUGAAGGUUCUAUGGAUCGUAAACCUCUUUUAUAAGGGCAUAAAGUGUGGGACGUGUACUGUUUUGUAUGUACCUUAUGAAUAAGGAUCGGCUAACUCCGUGCCAGCAUCCGCGGUAAUACGGAGGAUCCGAGCGUUAUCCGGAUUUAUUGGGUUUAAAGGGUGCGUAGGCGGCCUUUUAAUUCAGCGGUGAAAGUCUGUGGCUCAACCAUAGAAUUGCCGUUGAAACUGGGAGGCGUGAGGAUGUUUGAGGCAGGCGGAAUGCGUGGUGUAGCGGUGAAAUGCUGAGAUAUCACGCAGAACCCCGAUUGCGAAGGCAGCCUGCCAAGCCAUGACUGACGCUGAUGCACGAAAGCGUGGGGAUCAAACAGGAGUAGAUACCCCGGUAGUC